rnacentral:tRNA from 1 species
GGUAGACGCUACGGACUUACCGUAAAAGGUCGUGUGGGUUC